rnacentral:rRNA from 1 species
CUUCGGGUAAUGAGGAUGGCGGACGGGUGAGUAACGCGUAAGGAACUUGCCUCUUGGACUGGGACAACUGUUGGAAACGACAGCUAAUACCGGAUAUUAUGAGAUUCUCGCAUGAGAAACUUAUGAAAGCUAUAUGCGCCAAGAGAGAGCCUUGCGUUCCAUUAGCUAGUUGGUGGGGUAACGGCCCACCAAGGCGACGAUGGAUAGCCGGCCUGAGAGGGUGAACGGCCACAAGGGGACUGAGACACGGCCCUUACUCCUACGGGAGGCAGCAGUGGGGAAUAUUGGACAAUGGGCCACAAGCCUGAUCCAGCAAUUCUGUGUGCACGAUGAAGGUCUUCGGAUUGUAAAGUGCUUUCAGUUGGGAAGAAGAAAGUGACGGUACCAACAGAAGAAGCGACGGCUAAAUACGUGCCAGCAGCCGCGGUAAUACGUAUGUCGCAAGCGUUAUCCGGAUUUAUUGGGCGUAAAGCGCGUCUAGGCGGAAAAAUAAGUCUGAUGUUAAAAUGCGGGGCUCAACUCCGUAUUGCGUUGGAAACUGUUUUUCUAGAGUACUGGAGAGGUGGGCGGA